ncrna:unclassified sequences DTF3800-IX RNA
AAACCAGUCCCGAAUUGUCACCGUAUGGUGUGCGUGCUGCGAACACAGCUAGGGGCUGGUUUCGAC